rnacentral:lncRNA from 1 species
UUCUGCCCUCCUUCUGGUGGUGAAGAUGGAGGCCUUGAGAAGGAUGGAGCCGGAUAGCAGAAGACCCAACUCCUUACCAAGGCUUGCAUGGAGCGGAGACUCCAAGUUCUGUUUGGAAGGUCCAUGGAGUAGCAGUUGGCUUAAAAAAGUGGGUGAUCAUGGGGCAUGCCUGAAUGUGUCUGGAAGCUACAUUUGCAGCACCUUGUGAAUGAUUCCGUCAUACUACGAUUCCAAAAAACAGAAACCACAAUCAAGGACCUUGCCCACAUUUCCCCUGGCUCCCUCUGCCCCCUGACCAACCCUGGUGCUUUCCCAUGUAGCCCUGCAUGGCCUGGUGUCCUCCCUCAUCUUGGGAAUUAUUAGCCCUGAGCUAACUGCUGCCAAUCCUCCUCUUUUUUCUGAGGAAGGCUGGCCCUGAGCCAACAUCCGUGCCCACCUUCCUCUACUUUAUUAUGUGGGACGCCUACCUCAGCAUGGCUUGCCAAGCGGUGCCAUGUCCGCACCUGGGAUCCGAA